rnacentral:rRNA from 1 species
GAUCCUGGCUUAGAUUGAACGCUGGCGGCGUGCUUAACACAUGCAAGUCGCGCGUGAAAGGACUUCGGUCCGAGUAAAGCGGCGCACGGGUGAGUAACGCGUGGAUGAUCUACCCAUGAGUUAGGAAUAACGGCUGGAAACGGUCGCUAAUACCAAAUACGCUCCGAUUUCAACUUCGGGGGAAAGGUGGCCUCUGCUUGCAAGCUACUGCUCAUGGAUGAGUCCGCGUCCCAUUAGCUAGUUGGUGGGGUAACGGCCCACCAAGGCGACGAUGGGUAGCCGGUCUGAGAGGAUGACCGGCCACACUGGGACUGGAACACGGCCCAGACUCCUACGGGAGGCAGCAGUGGGGAAUAUUGCGCAAUGGGCGAAAGCCUGACGCAGCGACGCCGCGUGAGGGAAUGAAGGUCCUCGGAUCGUAAACCUCUGUCAGGAGGGAAGAACCGCCACGGUGCUAAUCAGCCGUGGUCUGACGGUACCUCCAAAGGAAGCACCGGCUAACUCCGUGCCAGCCGCGGC